rnacentral:rRNA from 1 species
UACAGAGGGUGCGAGCGUUAAUCGGAGUUACUGGGCGUAAAGGGCGCGUAGGCGGUUGAGUAUGUGUGAUGUGAAAGCCCUGGGCUUAACCUAGGAAGUGCAUCGCAAACUACUUAACUGGAGUAUAUGAGAGGGUGGUGGAAUUUCCGGUGUAGCGGUGAAAUGCGUAGAGAUCGGAAGGAACGUCAAUGGCGAAGGCAGCCACCUGGCAUAAUACUGACGCUGAGGCGCGAGAGCGUGGGGAGCGAACAGG